GCGGCCUUAGCUCAGCUGGGAGAGCGUCAGACUGAAGUUGUCUAAACUCCGGUCCCAUUAUCAAAUGCGAUAUCUGAAGGUCGUGUGUUCGAUCCACACAGGCCGCA
rnacentral:tRNA from 2 species